rnacentral:misc_RNA from 1 species
GAUGAAGAACGUAGCGAAAUGCGAUAAGUAAUGCGAAUUGCAGAAUUUCCGUGAAUCAUCGAAUCUUUGAACGCACAUUGCGCCCCUUGGUAUUCCGAGGGGCAUGCCUGUUCGAGCGUCAUUAUAACCCCUCAAGCUCAGCUUGGUGUUGGGGCCUGCUGCACUGGCAGCCCUUAAAAUCAGUGGCGGCGCCAUCUGGCUCUAAGCGUAGUAAUUCUUCUCGCUAUGGAGUCCUGGUGGAUGCUUGCCAUCAACCCCCAAUUUUUCUAUGGUUGACCUCGGAUCAGGUAGGGAUACCCGCUGAACUUAAGCAUAUCAAUAAGCGGAGGA